GGACAGAUGGGAGCUUGCUCCCUGAUGUUAGCGGCGGACGGGUGAGUAACACGUGGGUAACCUGCCUGUAAGACUGGGAUAACUCCGGGAAACCGGGGCUAAUACCGGAUGCUUGUUUGAACCGCAUGGUUCAAACAUAAAAGGUGGCUUCGGCUACCACUUACAGAUGGACCCGCGGCGCAUUAGCUAGUUGGUGAGGUAAUGGCUCACCAAGGCAACGAUGCGUAGCCGACCUGAGAGGGUGAUCGGCCACACUGGGACUGAGACACGGCCCAGACUCCUACGGGAGGCAGCAGUAGGGAAUCUUCCGCAAUGGACGAAAGUCUGACGGAGCAACGCCGCGUGAGUGAUGAAGGUUUUCGGAUCGUAAAGCUCUGUUGUUAGGGAAGAACAAGUACCGUUCGAAUAGGGCGGUACCUUGACGGUACCUAACCAGAAAGCCACGGCUAACUACGUGCCAGCAGCCGCGGUAAUACGUAGGUGGCAAGCGUUGUCCGGAAUUAUUGCGCGUAAGGGGCUCGCACGCGGUUUCUU
rnacentral:rRNA from 1 species